UACGUAGGGCGCAAGCGUUGUCCGGAAUUAUUGGGCGUAAAGAGCUCGUAGGCGGCUUGUCACGUCGAUUGUGAAAGCCCCGGGGCUUAACUCCGGGUCUGCAGUCGAUACGGGCUAGCUAGAGUGUGGUAGGGGAGAUCGGAAUUCCUGGUGUAGCGGUGAAAUGCGCAGAUAUCAGGAGGAACACCGGUGGCGAAGGCGGAUCUCUGGGCCGAUACUGACACUGAGGAGCGAAAAGCGGUGGGGAGCGAAACAGGG
rnacentral:rRNA from 1 species